GUUUCUUCCUAAGUUCCUCCUGCAUUGUUAAGCAAACAAAAUACACAAUUUGUUUUCAGCUAUCUUCUCAUUGAACUCAACAUCACCGCAGCCAACCAAAAGCACAAACAUUCAAGGUUAAGGCGAGAGUAAGAGCCAGUUAAGAAGUCAUUGAGCUAUAGCAAAGUUUGGUAAUCAGAUUGAGCAGUUGCCGAUGGUGAUGAAGUGACGAGCGGGAUUAUUUUGUCUUAUUAUGUAUUAAUGAACUCUAGGGUUACAUGUCUUCAUACAUGUAAUCAGAACCUUAUUCCGCUGCGUACUCAGAAGUUUUAUGUUUAUUUGGCUAAGUCAGAGAUAUCUGAACUUACUAGUUAUUUGAGUCUAUACGACUAAACUUCUGUUAUAUUAUAAAUAUUCCUUUUGUUAAAUGAUGAAAUGUGAUCCUUUCUUGUUUGAUUA